AACACGCUGGCGGCAGGUCUUAGGCAUGCAAGUCGAACGGGUGAAGCAGGUGCUUGCACUUGUGGAUCUAGUGGCGCACGAGUGAGUAACGCGUGGGAAACUGCCCACCACUGGGGAAUAACGUUUGGAAACGACUGCUAAUACCGCAUAAUCCCUGAGGGGGAAAGAUUUAUUGCUUUAAGAUUGGCCCGCGGAAGAUUAGGUAGUUGGUGGGGUAAAGGCCUACCAAGCCGACGAUCUAUAGCUGGUCUGAGAGGACGAACAGCCACAUUGGAACUGAGACACGGUCCAGACUCCUACGGGAGGCAGCAGUGAGGAAUAUUGGGCAAUGGAGGCAACUCUGACCCAGCCAUGCCGCGUGAGUGAUGAAGGUUUUCGAAUUGUAAAGCUCUUUCGGAUGUGAAGAUGAUGACGGUAGCAUCUAAAGAAGCCCCGGCAAACUUCGUG
rnacentral:rRNA from 1 species